CGCCACAGAUCAACACCCGCAUCACCGUCCCACCGCUGAUUCUCUCAUGCUCCCUGCUUGCCAACCAAGCUCCCCCUCCCUUCGUCACUCUCCUUUACUCGCAGUUUUUGGAAGGCGUGUCGCGUGGUCACGAUGGCAUACUCAACUGACCACAAAUCCUGGCUGGCCAAGUUGGUCGCCUUCGAUACCGUCAACGUGAAUCUGAACGUGGAGAUGCUUGAUUAUAUCAAGGGGUACCUGAAGACGCCCGGAAUCGACUCUACGCACAUCUACAACCCUGAGAGUGACCAUGUCAUCUCUGUGCCACAGUGCCCGGCAAGGACAGCCCCACGGAAAGCAGUGCUGUGCUCUUCGGCUACGCGGGUGUGCUGUCGGUAGACGGGCACGAGCGGGGCACCGACCCGUUCGUUCUUAUCGAGGAGGGUGGCAAGUUGUUUGGCCGCGGAACUUGCGAUAUGAGAGGCUUUGCUGCUCUCUGCGUGGCGCCGAUGCCGAGGCUCACGACGAUGAGGCAUACGAAGCCGGUGCACUUCACCUUCUUGUUGGAUGAUGAACGGUGACUGUGCGGGUGUUUUGUGCUUGGCCAACUACCUGAGGUAGUAUGGCUUCGAGGCGAACGGCUUCCUCGUCGGAGAUGGCUGCGUCGAUUUCUCGACAUGAACCAAGAUCAAGUCUUAGAAGGUGGCUGUGCACUGCAAGGUACUUCACUCGUCGAUGGUGCUGAUGAGCACGAGCUGCAACGGGUUCGAGUGCAAUGUGCCGACCAUCACGACGAUGCGCCAGAUCUCGGUGCGCAUCAAGAGGAGUGACACGCACAACCUCAACUACCGAUGCCUAUUAUCAUGCAUGCCCGUUGCCACGAUCACGGGUUGCAAUGCUGAGCCGACUUUACCCGUUGAGUUCGAGUUCGUCCUCAACAUGUGUAUCACCAAAACCCCAACGCAGAAACACGUAGGGGCUGAAGUGAAGGGGUAUAUUACUACGGUGAUCCUGUCUGCGAUGUGCGAGGGGUACGCGGAUGCUUCGAUUGAAAUCCACGACUGGGCUGUGCCGGCGUACCGCGCCAAUGAGAAGCAUCCGUUCACAAUGAUGCUGCGCGAGAUGAUGAAUGGCCACGCCAUCUGCAAGGCCGGCGGCUGUGCGGAGAGCGGGCUCUUUGCGGAGACGCUCAGCAUCCAGACUUUGAUUUUGGGCCCUGGUGGUAAGAGUGGUCACCGGGUGAACAAGUAAACGAAGGGGGAGCGCCCGUGGGGCCGUGUGGAACGCUCACAGAAGGUGUGGUGAUGCGUGUUGCCGUCAAUGCCGCAGGCUGAGGUUUCAGAUACGUAGCUCCCUGGGAGAGUGCUCUGGGCGCAGAGGGCGGUUGACGUGUGAGAGGAUGCGGUGUUUUGCCUGUGCCGUAGACAACCCAACGAGGAUGUGAAAGGCUCUCGCUGUCAGGUGCGCACACGCCGUUUCGAGGUGAGACCACACAAGCGCUGCAACAGCGUCUGCCCUUCUGUUCAACUUCUCCGUGCCAAUAUGUGCGUGCGGAUCAGCCGCCGGUGCGUGUCUGCCUUUGUGUGCUUUCCGUUUCUAAAUACGUACUGAAUAACCGUUUAGCGGCUCAAUCAUCAGCCGUGCGCGAGAGACACACCGUGGCGGCGGCAGUAUGGCCAUCAUUUUGGACAGCCCACCCACCCCCUCUUUAUCUGCAUUCCUGAGUGUGUGUGGGUGGCCUCUCUGCUCCCCUCUGGUAGGCUCUCUCUCACGUUGUUUUUAGAUCGCAUUCUCUGGCUUCGCCGCCCUUCACUGUGUGUGUAUACGUCCCCAUAUACAUGUAUAGAUAUGCAUACAUAUGUAUUCUUUUCGCUGUGCUCUUCCUCCCUCAUAUAUAGCGCGACAGCUUUUUUUUUUUAUGCGCCUCUCUGGGCUCCUUACGGAACGAUUGGACUGCCAAUAGCACAAGGUCAACGUGCACUGUCGUUUUCUUUUUCCUUGUUGAUGGUGUUGACGGCGGUGAUGGUGGUGGUGGGUGGAUGAUAUGGGGGAAGGGGCAAGCUACCUGUCUCUGCCUCAACAGAGGUGUGUCGCUGCUUUUUUUUUCCGUCCAAAUUUUACUUUGGAGCGUAUGAUUGUCUGCGCUUGUGAGUCCCUGCCUUUUUCUCGUGUGUGUCGAGAGGCCGGUGCCUGAGAUGCGUGCACGUCUGCCGACUGCUCUCCCUUCCCUCCGUCCAGCCCCGGACUUGCUUCUCUCUUCGGUACUCAAGAACUCUCGUCCCGUAUCUUGCGAAGUUGAGAUGUUUGGAGUGCCUUCCGCUUCCUCUUCCCCUUCCCCUUCCCUCCAGGCAGAACCAUCUCACGUGCGUUUCGCUCUCCGCUAACGACCUGGCGGAUUUCGUCUCCGGCUUUUACGAAAGAGCCAUUAUUUUUGCCCCGUCGUUCUCUUCGAUG
rnacentral:misc_RNA from 1 species